UACGAGGGGGGCAAGCGUUGUUCGGAAUUAUUGGGCGUAAAGGGCGCGUAGGCGGUGCGGUAAGUCACCUGUGAAAACUCUGGGCUCAACUCAGAGCCUGCAGGCGAAACUGCCGUGCUUGAGGACUGGAGAGGAGACUGGAAUUCAUGGAUGUAGCAGUGAAAUGCGUAGAGAUCAUGAGGAAGACCAGUGGCGAAGGCGGGUCUCUGGACAGUUCCU
rnacentral:rRNA from 1 species